AAACUUAACAUGAAGUGAAGCAUGUAAACCUGCUGAAUUUAAGCAUAUAAGUAGGCGGUGGAAAAUGAACCAAAUGGGAUUCCUUUAGUAAUUGCGAAUGAACAAGGAAAUGCUCAGCUUGAAAAAUGGGGCCUUUGGCUUUGAAUUGUAAUUUUGAAAUGUAUUGCCAAUGGAGGCGCAGGUGCAAGCCUAUUGAAAGAAAGCGUCAAUGAGGGUGAGAUUCCUUUUUGUCAUUUGCAGUCCUCCGUGCACGGUAUAUAUUUGACGAGUCACACUCCUCGGCAUUGGAAUGCAAAGUGGGUGGUAAAUUCCAUGUAAAGGUAAAUAUAUUAUUGAAACUGAUAGCAAACAAGUACCAUGAGGGAAAUAUGAAAAGGACUUUGAAAAGAGAAUUAAAAGAGUCUGCAUUUGCUGAACAGAAAGCAAACAGAAUUGAUCUUACUUGGUGAGAUUGUUGUGCUUACUCUAUCAUUUAUAUGGUUGAUGUGGGUGCGAUGGUUCUUACCUUGAAUGUCAGCUUCUAUUUCUGCAAAUCAUUACCCUUGCACAUGAAUGGUAAUUUGCCUGCGGGUAUUGGAAUGCAUGUGUUUGCAAUGAUUUGUGAUUUGAUGCGUGUGUCUGGUGAAAUUUGUAUGUGCUCCUUUGUCAAAGGGGAAAGCUUACUUCCUUGAGCAUUAUAAGCCCUUACACAUCAAUGCUGGCAAAAUGUUUCUGCUUGACCCGUCUUGAAACACGGACCAAGGAGUCUAACAGAUGUGCAAGUUCGUGGGUGGCAAACCUUUUUGCGCRAUGAAAGUAUUGGCUGGGAUACUUGCACCAGCWGCCGACCRAUUAGCRGACAGAGGUUUGAGUUUGAGCRUAUCUAUUAGGACCCGAAAGAUGGUGAACKAUGCCUGAACAGAAUGAA
rnacentral:rRNA from 1 species